GACGAACGCUGGCGGCGUGCUUAACACAUGCAAGUCGAACGGAAAGGCCCUGCUUGCAGGGUGCUCGAGUGGCGAACGGGUGAGUAACACGUGGGUGAUCUGCCCCUUACUUUGGGAUAAGCCUGGGAAACUGGGUCUAAUACUGGAUAGGACCAUGCUGUAGGUGGUGUGGUGGAAAGAUUAGUUUCGGUAAGGGAUGAGCUCGCGGCCUAUCAGCUUGUUGGUGGGGUAAUGGCCUACCAAGGCGUCGACGGGUAGCCGGCCUGAGAGGGUGGACGGCCACAUUGGGACUGAGAUACGGCCCAGACGCCUACGGGAGGCAGCAGAGGGGAAUAGUGCACAAUGGGCGCAAGCCUGAUGCAGCGACGCCGCGUGGGGGAUGACGGCCUUCGGGUUGUAAACUCCUUUCAGCCAUGACGAAGCCCUUGUGGUGACGGUAGUGGUAGAAGAAGCACCGGCUAACUACGUG
rnacentral:rRNA from 1 species